GCUUUCCUGCGGUGUUCGCGACGGUUCUAAAUCUUUGAACCGAUAAGCUGUAUAGCACGUUUGCCAGUCAUCUAGACGCCUGUUGUGAGCGUUCCUUGAGAAUGCACCUGAUGGCAUCUGACCGGCAACAACUUGAACCAUGGGUUCAAGAUGCGAACCGAAACGGCACUGUGGGAAGCCC
rnacentral:other from 3 species